rnacentral:rRNA from 1 species
AACGAACGCUGGCGGCAUGCCUAACACAUGCAAGUCGAACGAUACCUUCGGGUCUAGUGGCGCACGGGUGCGUAACGCGUGGGAACCUGCCCUUAGGUUCGGAAUAACUCCCCGAAAGGGGUGCUAAUACCGGAUAAUGUCUUCGGACCAAUGAUUUAUCGCCUUUGGAUGGGCCCGCGUUGGAUUAGCUAGUUGGUAGGGUAAAAGCCUACCAAGGCGACGAUCCAUAGCUGGUCUGAGAGGAUGAUCAGCCACACUGGGACUGAGACACGGCCCAGACUCCUACGGGAGGCAGCAGUGGGGAAUAUUGGACAAUGGGCGAAAGCCUGAUCCAGCAAUGCCGCGUGAGUGAUGAAGGCCUUAGGGUUGUAAAGCUCUUUUACCCGGGAUGAUAAUGACAGUACCGGGAGAAUAAGCGCCGGCUAACUCCGUG